AUCUGUUUGAAGGUGUAUAGAGUCUGGCCUGCCCACUGAGUAGUUUAAAGGGCCGCGGUAUUCUGACCGUGCGAAGGUAGCAUAAUCAUUAGUCUUUUAAUGGAAGGCUUGUAUGAAUGGUUGGACGAGAAAUAAGCUGUUUUUUAUUUAAAUUUUAAAUUUAACUUUUAAGUGAAAAGGCUUAAAUCUAACAAAAAGACGAUAAGACCCUAUAAAUCUUUACAUUACUUUAGAAUUAAAGUCAAUUAGAAGUAAAAAUCUGUUUAUUUUUAAGAAUGUUUUGUUGGGGCGACGUAAAUAGCUAAUAAUCUGUUUAGAAAAAUUACAAGAUAUAUUUGAGUUUAAAAUUAAGAUCCUUGUUAUAGAUUGUAAGAUUAAGUUACUUUAGGGAUAACAGCGUUAUUUUGUUUGAGAGUUCAUAUCGAAAACAAAGUUUGCGACCUCGAUGUUGAAUUAAAAAUUCUUUAUGGUGCAGCAGCUAUAAGAGAAAGUCUGUUCGACUUUUAAAUUUUU
rnacentral:rRNA from 1 species